GGCUGGACCACCAGCCAAGGCUAAAUAUAAUAUACGAUCGAUAGUGAACUAGUACAGCGAUGGAAAGGUGAAAAGAACCCCGGGAGGGGAGUGAAAUAGAUCCUGAAAUUUAGCGCCUACAAGGAGUCGGAGCCGGCUUGUCCGGUGACGGCGUGCUUUUUGUAGAACGAUCCAGCGAGUUAAUUUUUACAGCGAGGUUAAGUCAAUUGACGGAGCCACAGUGAAAGCGAGCCUGAAUAGGGCGAUUAAGUUGUAAGGAUUAGACCCGAAACCGGGUGACCUAACCAUGAGCAGGUUGAAGCCACUGUAACAGGUGGUGGAGGACCGAACCAGGAUACGCAGCAAAGUGUUUGGAUGACUUGUGGUUAGCGGUGAAAUGCCAAUCGAACUCGGAGAUAGCUGGUUCUCCUCGAAAUAGCUUUAGGGCUAGCGUCGUGUUAGUAGCACAUGGGGGUAGAGCUCUGUAAAGGACUGGGGCGGGCAACUGUACCCACCCUUAACAAACUACGAAUACCAUGUGUGUAAUCACGGCAGUUAGAACAUCGGUGCUAAGAUCGGUGCUCAAAAGGGAAACAGCCCAGACCAUCAUCUAAGGUCCCUAAAUUAACGUUCAGUGGGAAACAAGGUGAGAUUUCUUAAACAGCUAGGAUGUUGGCUUAGAAGCAGCCAUUCAUUUAAAGAGUGCGUAACAGCUCACUAGUCAAGAGAUCUUGCGUGGAAAAUGUAACGGGGCUAAAACGUUAUACCGAAGAUAUGGAUGUCAGAUUUAUCUGGCGUGGUAGAGGAGCGUUCCUAUCAGCAGUGAAGUCGAAUCGGAAGGUUCGGUGGAGCGGUAGGAAGUGAGAAUGCUGGAAUGAGUAACCAUAAGAGAGGUGAGAAUCCUCUCGGCCGUAAGAGCAAGGUUUCCUGAGCCAUGGUAAUCAUCUCAGGGUUAGUCGGGCCUAAGCCGAGGCGCAGAGCGUAGGCGAUGGACAUCAGGUUAAUAUUCCUGAACCGGUUAAGUUUUGUACACUGUUCACGGGGAAGUAAUCGAAGCGGAUUCAUGGUUUAUCCGUCCAACCGAGCGGGAACGCAAAGGGAGUGAAAGUGAUUCUUCGGAGUCGCGAUUUUGGUGAAAGCCCUGGCUAGAAAAGCAGGUGUACGCGUGGACUUAGCCGCCCGUACCGCAAACCAACACAGGUGCUCGAGUCGAGUAGACUCAGGCUUACGAGCGAACCUUCGCUAAGGAACUCGGCAAUACAGCGACCGUAACUUCGGGAUAAGGUCUGCCCCCACUUCGGUGGAUAUCAGCCGCGUUCACUCAGUGAAUAUUAGGUUAAAGAGUACAUUUUUAAUCACAAAACGAAUUUUCUGAGAUAGAGCAAACGAAUUGUUCUUUUGAACGCGAACCUCUGACGUCUAACGAUGUGGGGGCCGCAGCAAAAGAGCCCACGGAACUGUUUAUCAAAAACACAGGUCUCUGCUAACACGAAAGUGGAUGUAUAGGGGCUGACUCCUGCCCAAUGCUGGAAGGUUAAGGGGAGCGCUUCACGGUGCGAACUGAAGCCCUAGUCAAUGGCGGCGGUAACUAUAACCGUCCUAAGGUAGCGAAAUUCCUUGUCAGGUAAGUUCUGACCCGCACGAAUGGAGUAAUCAUGUGGGCACUGUCUCAGCGAAGGACUCGGUGAAAGUGCAUUGGCGGUAAAGAUGCCGUCUGUCCGUACCAGGACGAAAAGACCCCAUGGAGCUUUACUACAGCUUUACAUUGAAUAUGGUUUCAACAUGUGUAGCAUAGGUGGGAGACUUUGAAGCAGAUACGCCAGUAUUUGUGGAGUCAUCAAGUGAAAUACCACCCUUGUUGUGAUUGUGUUCUCACGCUGACCGUUAUCCGGUUAGCGGACCGUGUAUGGUGGGUAGUUUAACUGGGGCGGUUGCCUCCUAAAGAGUAGCGG
rnacentral:rRNA from 1 species